rnacentral:tRNA from 1 species
GCGGUUGUAGCUCAGUUGGUUAGAGCAUCAGUUUGUGGCACUGGGGGUCGCCAGUUCGAUUCUGGUCAGCCGCC